AUUGAACGCUGGCGGCAGGCCUAACACAUGCAAGUCGAGCGGAUGAAGGGAGCUUGCUCCUGGAUUCAGCGGCGGACGGGUGAGUAAUGCCUAGGAAUCUGCCUGGUAGUGGGGGAUAACGUCCGGAAACGGGCGCUAAUACCGCAUACGUCCUGAGGGAGAAAGUGGGGGAUCUUCGGACCUCACGCUAUCAGAUGAGCCUAGGUCGGAUUAGCUAGUUGGUGGGGUAAAGGCCUACCAAGGCGACGAUCCGUAACUGGUCUGAGAGGAGGAUCGGUCACACUGGAACUGAGACACGCACCAGACUCCUGCGGGAGGCAGCAGUGGGGAAUAUUGGACAAUGGGCGAAAGCCUGAUCCAGCCAGGCCGCGUGUGUGAAGAAGGUCUUCGGAUUGUAAAGCACGUUUAGUGGGGAGGAAGGGCAGUAAGUUAAUACCUUGCUGUUUUGACGUUACCAACAGAAGAAGCACCGGCUAACUUCGUG
rnacentral:rRNA from 1 species